UUGCGCCUGUUUAACAAAAACAUUGCCGCUUGAGUAAACAAAAUAAGCGGUACAUCCUGCCCGGUGAGAUACGUCUUAAACGGCCGCGUUAGCGUGAGCGUGCUAAGGUAGCAUAAUAAUUUGCCUUUUAAAUGAAGGCUGGAAUGAAUGGACACACGAGACCACUACUGUCUCCUAAGUACCCCUAAAAAUUAGGAAUCAAGUGCAGACACUUGAAUUGCCUUAAAGGACAAGAAGACCCCGUUGAGCUUUAGUUCAAAGUUAUUUCGUCCGCAAGUAGCUGAGUGAGCUUUGGUUGGGGCGACAAAGGUUUAUCCACAGCAACCUCUAAUAACAAGACAUAUAAGUCCCUAAAAGACUCGCUAUUAGCAAAAAGAAGAAAAGCUACCACGGGGAUAACAGGCUAAUCCAUUCGAAGAGUUCACAUUGAUGAAUGGGUUUGGCACCUCGAUGUUGGCUCAGGAUUCCCCGCAGGUGCAGGCGCCUGCAAAGGUAGGUUUGUUCACCCUUUAAAAUCCUACGUGAUCUGAGUUCAAGACCGGCA
rnacentral:rRNA from 1 species